rnacentral:rRNA from 1 species
CUCCUGGAAAGUCCUCGUGUUGCAUCCC